CCUACGGGUGGCAGCAGUCGAGAAUCAUUCACAAUGGGGGAAACCCUGAUGGUGCGACGCCGCGUGGGGGAAUGAAGGUCUUCGGAUUGUAAACCCCUGUCAUGUGGGAGCAAAUUAAAAAGAUCGUACCACAAGAGGAAGAGACUGCUAACUCUGUGCCAGCAGCCGCGGUAAUACAGAGGUCUCAAGCGUUGUUCGGAAUCACUGGGCGUAAAGCGUGCGUAGGCUGUUUCGUAAGUCGGGUGUGAAAGGCGCGGGCUCAACCCGCGGACGGCACAUGAUACUGCGAGACUAGAGUAAGGGAGGGGGAACCGGAAUUCCCGGUGUAGCAGUGAAAUGCGUAGAUAUCGAGAGGAACACUCGUGGCGAAGGCGGGUGCCUGGACAUUAACUGACGCUGAGGCACGAAGGCCAGGGGAGCGAAAGGGAUUAGAUACCCCUGUAGUC
rnacentral:rRNA from 1 species